rnacentral:rRNA from 1 species
UGCAAGUCGAGCGGCAGCGCGGGGGCAACCUUGGCGGCGAGCGGCGAACGGGUGAGUAAUGUAUCGGAACGUACCCAGUCGUGGGGGAUAACUAUCCGAAAGGAUAGCUAAUACCGCAUACGUCCUGAGGGAGAAAGCGGGGGACCGAAAGGCCUCGCGCGAUUGGAGCGGCCGAUAUCGGAUUAGCUAGUUGGUGAGGUAAAGGCUCACCAAGGCGACGAUCCGUAGCUGGUCUGAGAGGACGACCAGCCACACUGGAACUGAGACACGGUCCAGACUCCUACGGGAGGCAGCAGUGGGGAAUUUUGGACAAUGGGGGCAACCCUGAUCCAGCCAUUCCGCGUGAGUGAAGAAGGCCUUCGGGUUGUAAAGCUCUUUCGGCAGGAACGAAACGGUGUCCCCUAAUACGGGGCGCUAAUGACGGUACCUGAAGAAGAAGCACCGGCUAACUACGUGCCAGCAGCCGCGGUAAUACGUAGGGUGCGAGCGUUAAUCGGAAUUACUGGGCGUAAAGCGUGCGCAGGCGGUUAUGUAAGACAGGUGUGAAAUCCCCGGGCUUAACCUGGGAACUGCGCUUGUGACUGCAUAACUCGAGUGUGGCAGAGGGGGGUGGAAUUCCACGUGUAGCAGUGAAAUGCGUAGAGAUGUGGAGGAACACCGAUGG